AUUGAACGCUGGCGGCAUGCCUUACACAUGCAAGUCGAACGGUAACAGGUCUUCGGAUGCUGACGAGUGGCGAACGGGUGAGUAAUACAUCGGAACGUGCCCGAUCGUGGGGGAUAACGCAGCGAAAGCUGUGCUAAUACCGCAUACGAUCUACGGAUGAAAGCGGGGGAUCGCAAGACCUCGUGCGGACGGAGCGGCCGAUGGCAGAUUAGGUAGUUGGUGGGAUAAAAGCUUACCAAGCCGACGAUCUGUAGCUGGUCUGAGAGGACGACCAGCCACACUGGGACUGAGACACGGCCCAGACUCCUACGGGAGGCAGCAGUGGGGAAUUUUGGACAAUGGGCGCAAGCCUGAUCCAGCCAUGCCGCGUGCAGGAUGAAGGCCUUCGGGUUGUAAACUGCUUUUGUACGGAACGAAAAAGCUCUCUCUAAUACAGGGGGUGAAUGACGGUACCGUAAGAAUAAGCACCGGCUAACUACGUGCCAGCCGCCGCCGUAAAAC
rnacentral:rRNA from 1 species